GUUUGCUCACUGUGUUUGCAUGGGUCGCUGGAAUCGUGACCUGGGCAGUAGCUCUAUGUUUGCUACAACCCGUUCUGCGUCUCUUACUUUCCUGCAACCCAGCACCAGUCCUCUUACACAACUAAGAGGCUGUCAUUAAUUGUUAGCGUCAAGGAAUUAAGAAAUGUCCCAACGUCAGAGCGGUACCGUUAAGUGGUUUAACGACGAGAAAGGUUUUGGUUUCAUUACCCCGGAAAGCGGUCCGGACCUGUUUGUGCACUUCCGUGCCAUUCAGGGUAAUGGCUUCAAAAGCCUGAAAGAAGGCCAGAAAGUGACCUUCAUCGCAGUUCAGGGCCAAAAAGGCCUGCAGGCUGAUGAAGUGCAAGCAGAAGGCUAAGCUUUCUCGCGUUGAAAAGCCUCUGAUGGUGACAUCAGAGGCUUUUUU
rnacentral:sRNA from 1 species